rnacentral:rRNA from 2 species
GGAGCGGCAGACGGGUGAGUAACGCGUGGGAAUCUACCGUGCCCUACGGAAUAGCUCCGGGAAACUGGAAUUAAUACCGUAUACGCCCUACGGGGGAAAGAUUUAUCGGGGUAUGAUGAGCCCGCGUUGGAUUAGCUAGUUGGUGGGGUAAAGGCCUACCAAGGCGACGAUCCAUAGCUGGUCUGAGAGGAUGAUCAGCCACAUUGGGACUGAGACACGGCCCAAACUCCUACGGGAGGCAGCAGUGGGGAAUAUUGGACAAUGGGCGCAAGCCUGAUCCAGCCAUGCCGCGUGAGUGAUGAAGGUCUUAGGAUUGUAAAGCUCUUUCACCGAUGAAGAUAAUGACGGUAGUCGGAGAAGAAGCCCCGGCUAACUUCGUGCCAGCAGCCGCGGUAAUACGAAGGGGGCUAGCGUUGUUCGGAAUUACUGGGCGUAAAGCGCACGUAGGCGGAUAUUUAAGUCAGGGGUGAAAUCCCGCAGCUCAACUGCGGAACUGCCUUUGAUACUGGGUAUCUUGAGUAUGGAAGAGGUGAGUGGAAUUCCGAGUGUAGAGGUGAAAUUCGUAGAUAUUCGGAGGAACACCAGUGGCGAAGGCGGCUCACUGGUCCAUUACUGACGCUGAGGUGCGAAAGCGUGGGGAGCAAACAGGAUUAGAUA